AAACUUGCUAUUUGCUCUGAGAGUUCUGGGGUCUGAGCAGGGUAAAAAUUACCCCGCUGCCUGGUCUCCUCUCCCUGCUGGGCCCCUCCCAGACUCCUCUGCCACCUCCUCUGGGUCCUCUCUGGCCAGCUCAGCUUUUGUAUUUGGGCCAGGCAGGGAAAAAAGCAUUUGGCUCAGCUUCUUGUUUGUCAGGAGUCCAACAUCACCAGGGGUCUUGCCUGGUUUCAACUAUUUCCCGGUGCUUUUCCUUGCUCCGUAGUCAAGUUUCUAGCCAGGAUUUCUUGGCUCUGGGAAAGAUUGAGUGCCUGUCUGAGCCUUCUAGGCCUGUGUUUCAUUUGCAGCUGCCUGGCUCUGACUGGGUGACAGUCCCAGCUCUCCCCAGUCAGCCUAUCCCUUCUGCUUGGCCAGCAGAGGAGGCCCUUUGUGUUGGUGUCCUGGGGACUUGGGAGGGAGGAGCUCCUACUUUGUAAUGGCUGCCCAGUGUCCUGGGCUCACUGCAGCCCCGGCACAGGCUCAGGGCUGGCAUUGCCUUCCAAGAGCCAGUAAUUCGUACCUGUCUGCAAAGGUACCACUAUCAAAGGUAUGGAUCAACACUCAAACAUUGGCAGCCUACGGAGAACGUAAUCCUCAGGACAGUAACCCUCAGGCACGUUCAGUCGUAAUCUUUCAAGAAGGAAGAAGGGCCUUGUCGGCCGUGCACUUCUCUGCCUGGAGACGUCCUCACCACUGAAGCUACCAAUCUGGACCCCCUCCUUCAAAAACCCAGCCCCUUUGGAGUGCAUGUUAUCGAGAGUUUAUUGCCCACUUCUCCUAGUUAGUGUCACCAGUCAUCCCCUGGUCACUCUCUGUGUGUCCCUUGAUAAUAGCACGAGACUCUUUCUCUUCCCCUGACCUCGUCCUUGGUGACUUCAGCGGCAGGGCUGACAGGCUACCCAACACUCUGGCCCCUAAGUCCCUUCACUGCCUUAGCCCUGGCAAUAUAUUUCCCCUGCCCCACCUUAGCUUCCUGGUCAAGCCCUAGACCUUGGAACUAUGAGUGUCUACACCACGUCUAAAAUCUCAGAUUCAAACAUCCCACCACCUGCCAGCCCUCUAGCUCACUCUCUAAGUCCUUUGCACCCAAGACCUCCAAUUCAUUGUGCUACUGUUCUUUCACUAUUUAUCUCCUACCAGGUCUUUGCUUCUCAGUCAGCUGAGAUUUCAUGAUCCAGCACACAAAAUCUUCCUUGCAAACACUCUUAACUCCCUUACACUGCUCUCUCUCCAUCAUACUCACCUGGCAAACACCCAACUGUGGUUAGAUCAAACUGUUUUACUUCACACCUGCAACGGAGCGGUUGAACACCGCUGAAGAAAAUUCCCCAGCUACUCUAGAUGAACUCACUUCAAAUUUACGGCCAUAAAUUUCAAAUGGGCACUUGAACUGCUGGACAGUCCUGCUGUAGUUUCUUAGAAAAUUCCUUUUCCCUCUCCACAGAGCAACGAUUUCACACUUUCUCCUCUCUCUACAUAUUUUCAGCAACCCUUCCUCUUUCACUCUCAGUCUGACCUCAGAUUACCCUUUAUAGAGAAAAUAGGUACAAUCAGACCAACUGCCUGACCUUCCUGCCACGAAAGCCCCCAGAAUGCCCGUGGCUUUGCUUUCUCCCCGCCUCUCUGUGGUCACUCCUCCAUCUGUGCCUGGGGCCCUUUCCCCUUCCACCAGCCUUCACCUUCCUUUCCUGCACCAUCAAUCCUCUUGACUAGAUCUUUCUUAUUGAAGUAAAACAGGACUUCUUUCCCUGAACUUAAAAACAUGUUAGCCUUAGGCUCACAUCGCCUCAGGCUACAGCUCCUUUGGUCUGCCUCUCUUCAGAGAAGUUGUCUGUGUACACACACUCCUCUUCCCCAUCUCCCAAUCUCACCUCCCGCCACUCCAGCUGGGCUUUUAUCCUUACUGUUCUGUUGGCAUAGCUCUUACCAAGACUGCCAGGGACCUACAUCUCGACUAGACAGUGGCUAGUUCAGAGUCCUUGCCUUGUCUGGUCUCCCAGUGGCACUGAACGUGUUAGACCGCUCUGUGGCGGAUUGAAUUAUUGAUCCUAGUUCUUGUCACUCCUCCCUGUGUCCAUAUCCUUCUCGUUAAAGGUGGAGUAUAUUUUCUUGCCCCUUGAUUUGGGCCUGGCUGUGUGACCUGUUUGGUGAAUAAAAUACAGGAGGAAGUGACAUGGUGCCAGGUCCCAGCCUAGGUGUUGGGAGGCAUCUUAAGUUGCCUCUUGCCUAUGCCUACUUGUGCCAAUAGUAUCGCCAUGGGAAAAACUUGUCCCAACUGGCCUGCUGGUGCAAGGAUGAUGAAGGACAUGUAUGUAGAGCAGACCCAGAUCCAACUACAGCUUAGAGCUGCCCAGCAAAGGCCAGCAGCGUCUAGUUGACCCACAGUAAGGUAAGUUAAAAAAAAGUAAGGAAGUAAAAUAAGUUUUUACUGUUAUGUGCCAUUCAUAUUUUUGUUUGUUUUUUGUUGUUGUUACCCAGCAAUAUGGGACUGAUACAUCCUCCUUCUGAAAUACUUGCUUUGCUCAGUUUCCCUCUAAUCACUACUUUUUGGUUUUCCUCUAACUUUACAGGCUAUUCUUCUCAGUCUUUGCUGGCUUUCUCCCUACCAGAUCUCUAAAUGUUGGAGUAGCUUUAAUUUCAGCCCUCUCUCCUAUCUUAACUCAUUCCCUAAGAGGAAUGAUCCAGGCCACAGCUUUGAAUGUCAUCUACAUGCUGGCUCUCAAAUUUCAGCCUGAAGGAGAGAUGCCCCUGAACUCACCCUGUCUCCGUGUAGCCACCUGAUGUCUGAUAGGUCUUAGCAUGGCCAAAACAGACCUAGUGAUCCGCCCCUUUUCCCCAACCACCCAGUCAGCCUAAAAAUGGAGGCUUCACCCUUGACUGCUGCAUUCUGUCAGGUCAGUACAUCAGAGCAGCCUCCUGCACUUCCAGAACUGGUCCAGAAACCAGUACCACGUCUCCCCAGUCUCCCCAUAUGCACAGCCACACGCUAGUUCUCUCUCCUCUUGCCAGAACUUCUGCAACUAAAUCUUCAGUUUUCCUCAGCUCCUCCUAGUCUGUUCUCCACAAUGCAGCCAGAGUGAUCUUUCUAAAGGGCAAAUGAAGUAUCUUCACUUCCACCUUAAAAUCCUCCGAAGGCUUCCCCUUGUAAACAUAAUAAAAACCACACUCCUUACCUUGGCCCAUGAAGAUUAGAUCCAUGGGCCAAGUCCCAGUCCCUGACUAUGUUCCCAGUGCCCUCAAAUCUCUGUGUUCACACUGCUGCAACCACAGCAGCUGGCCUUCCUGAUGUCUCGAACAUAGCACCCGCACUCCUGCCUCAGGGCUUUUGCAUUUACUAUCCCUCCUGCUUGAAGCACUCUUCCCCAGAUCUUCAUGGGGCUGCCUACUUCCCAUCUAUAAGAUCUCAAAUGUCACCUCCUCCAAGAGGCCUUCCCUGUCUAAAUAAAGCUACAGCACCAGCCCCACCGCCCUGUGCCCCCUUACCAACACCCUUAAUUCUAUCACAUUAGUUUAGCUUCUUUGUAGUACUUAUCAACAUGUGAACUUGUUUGGCCUUGUAUCUAUUAUGUUCCUUCCCAUUAAAACACAAA